rnacentral:rRNA from 1 species
AUACAUGCAAGUCGAACGAGUUCUCGUUGAUGAUCGGUGCUUGCACCGAGAUUCAACAUGGAACGAGUGGCGGACGGGUGAGUAACACGUGGGUAACCUGCCCUUAAGUGGGGGAUAACAUUUGGAAACAGAUGCUAAUACCGCAUAGAUCCAAGAACCGCAUGGUUCUUGGCUGAAAGAUGGCGUAAGCUAUCGCUUUUGGAUGGACCCGCGGCGUAUUAGCUAGUUGGUGAGGUAAUGGCUCACCAAGGCGAUGAUACGUAGCCGAACUGAGAGGUUGAUCGGCCACAUUGGGACUGAGACACGGCCCAAACUCCUACGGGAGGCAGCAGUAGGGAAUCUUCCACAAUGGACGCAAGUCUGAUGGAGCAACGCCGCGUGAGUGAAGAAGGCUUUCGGGUCGUAAAACUCUGUUGUUGGAGAAGAAUGGUCGGCAGAGUAACUGUUGUCGGCGUGACGGUAUCCAACCAGAAAGCCACGGCUAACUACGUGCCAGCAGCCGCGGUAAUACGUAGGUGGCAAGCGUUAUCCGGAUUUAUUGGGCGUAAAGCGAGCGCAGGCGGUUUUUUAAGUCUGAUGUGAAAGCCCUCGGCUUAACCGAGGAAGCGCAUCGGAAACUGGGAAACUUGAGUGCAGAAGAGGACAGUGGAACUCCAUGUGUAGCGGUGAAAUGCGUAGAUAUAUGGAAGAACACCAGUGGCGAAGGCGGCUGUCUGGUCUGUAACUGACGCUGAGGCUCGAAA